CAAGCGUGAUAAAUCUCAGAGAAUGGAGAUCAAGAUGGCUCUGGAACUUCAGGGCGAGGGCAGUGAUGAGGACUACAACGUCGUCAAAGCCCUGAACCAUUUUGACUUCAGAGGACACCACUGCAUUGUCCUGGAGCUGUUGAAGGAGAGCCUCCAUGAUGUGAUUAAGGAAGCGGGGCUCCGGCAAUUGCACAUGGGAUGGUGAAAACUUACACCAGGGGCAUCCUCAAGUUCCUUUGCCACACCAAGGCCAGGAGCAUCAUCCAUGCGGACAUCAAGCCAGAAAAUGUUCUAAUCAAGGACACCGUGACCGGCACCAUCAGGGUCACGGACUUUGGCACCAGCUUUUUUGUGAAACGUCAACGUGAGUAACCUCACCUGGGUGUGAGUUUCUGCGUGUGGGUGUGUCUGUGUACCAGUGUGUGUGCAAGUCUCUUAGUGUCUGUACAUGUGACAGUGUGUGAUAACGAUGCUGUUCAUGAUAUAGUGAGUACACACAUACAUAUUUGUUGUUGUGAUUGUUGUGCAGCUCUGCAUGUUGGUGGUACCCUGCCAUUCCAAUCUCCGGAGGUAUUGCUGGGCUACAGAUUGACCUGUGCAGUGGACAUGUGGGCACUGGGCUGCCAGGUGGCGGAGUUGGUGACCGGCAGGGAAUUAUUCCAGUCGGACAGCCGCGACGACCACCUCCCGUGCUGCAUGGAGAUCCUCGGGUUGCCUCCAAGAUGUAUGAUGGAUGCAGCUCCUGACGGAAUACACUACUUUGAUCGUGUGGGCAUGAUGUUCUGCCCAGUCAAGAGAAGGGUGCCAGGGAGCUUGUCACUUCACGGGGCACUCAAUAGCCAAG